GUGUCAGCCGCCGCGGUAAUACGGAGGGAGCUAGCGUUGUUCGGAUAUACUGGGCGUAAAGCGCACGUAGGCGGCGCCGUAAGUCAGGGGUGAAAUCCCGGAGCUCAACUCCGGAACUGCCCUUGAAACUGCAGUGCUAGAAUUCUGGAGAGGCGAGUGGAAUUCCGAGUGUAGAGGUGAAAUUCGUAGAUAUUCGGAAGAACACCAGUGGCGAAGGCGACUCGCUGGACAGACAUUGACGCUGAGGUGCGAAAGCGUGGGGAGCAAACAGGAUUAGAUACCCCGGUAGUCC
rnacentral:rRNA from 1 species